rnacentral:rRNA from 1 species
CCUGCCCUUGACUCUGGGAUAAGCCUGGGAAACCGGGUCUAAUACUGGAUAUGACCUUCUGGCGCAUGCCAUGUUGGUGGAAAGCUUUAUUGCGGUUUUGGAUGGACUCGCGGCCUAUCAGCUUGUUGGUGGGGUAAUGGCCUACCAAGGCGACGACGGGUAGCCGGCCUGAGAGGGUGGACGGCCACACUGGGACUGAGACACGGCCCAGACUCCUACGGGAGGCAGCAGUGGGGAAUAUUGCACAAUGGGCGCAAGCCUGAUGCAGCGACGCCGCGUGGGGGAUGAAGGCCUUCGGGUUGUAAACCUCUUUCAGUAGGGAAGAAGCGAAAGUGACGGUACCUGCAGAAGAAGCGCCGGCUAACUACGUGCCAGCAGCCGCGGUAAUACGUAGGGCGCAAGCGUUAUCCGGAAUUAUUGGGCGUAAAGAGCUCGUAGGCGGUUUGUCGCGUCUGCCGUGAAAGUCCGGGGCUUAACUCCGGAUCUGCGGUGGGUACGGGCAGACUAGAGUGAUGUAGGGGAGACUGGAAUUCCUGGUGUAGCGGUGAAAUGCGCAGAUAUCAGGAGGAACACCGAUGGCGAAGGCAGGUCUCUGGGCAUUAACUGACGCUGAGGAGCGAAAGCAUGGGGAGCGAACAGGAUUAGAUACCCUGGUAGUCCAUGCCC